GACGAACGCUGGCGGCGUGCUUAACACAUGCAAGUCGAACGGAAAGGCCCUGCUUUUGUGGGGUGCUCGAGUGGAGAACGGGUGAGUAACACGUGAGUAACCUGCCCUUGACUUUGGGAUAACUUCAGGAAACUGGGGCUAAUACCGGAUAGGAGCUCCUGCUGCAUGGUGGGGGUUGGAUAGUUUCGGCGGUUGGGGAUGGAAUGGCGGCUUAUCAGCUUGUUGGUGGGGUAGUGGCUUACCAAGGCUUUGACGGGUAGCCGGCCUGAGAGGGGGACCGGCCACAUUGGGACUGAGAUGAGGCCCAGACUCCUACGGGAGGCAGCAGUGGAGAAGAUUGCACAAUGGGCGGAAGCCUGAUGCAGCAACGCCGCGUGCGGGAUGACGGCCUUCGGGUUGUAAUCCGCUUUCGCCUGUGACGAAGCGUGAGUGACGGUAAUGGGUAAAGAAGCACCGGCUAACUACGUG
rnacentral:rRNA from 1 species